UCUGUGCAAAGGUAGCAUAAUCAUUAGUCUUUUAAUUGAGGACUGGAANGAAAGAGUAAACCGGGAAAAUCUUUUUUAAAUUUAAAAAAUGAAGUUUAUUUUUUAGUAAGAAAGCUAAAAUAAUUCUUUUAGACGAGAAGACCCUGUAAAACUUUAUAUUUCUAAUUUUUAGAAGGAUUGGGAAAUAUUUUNCUGGGGCGGUAGGGAAAAAAUCUUUCCUUUAUUUUAAAAUACGUACAUGUAUUUAUACCUAGAAGUUCUAAAAAAGAAAUAAGUUACUUUAGGGAUAACAGCUUUAUACACUUUUAAAGAUCUAAUUGACAAGUGUGUUUAUGACCUCGAGGNUGAAUUAAAAUGCCUUUUUUAUGCNGUAGUNACAANGGAGNUCUGCUCGACC
rnacentral:rRNA from 1 species